UGUAAGCGUAUACCAAAGUUGUUGCAGUUAAAACGCUCGUAGUCGGAAUUUGGCAGUUCCGGAUGUGUGCACGUCGUGUGCGCACUUCGCGGGGAUUGCUUUUGUGGUCUUGCGUAGGAUGAGGCACUUUUAUUAGUGAACGUCCUCACGCAACCACUUUUUACUGUGAGAAAAUCAGAGUGCUCAAAGCAGGCAUUUGCCGUGAAUGUAUUAGCAUGGAAUAAUAGAAUAGGACUUGGUUCUAUUUUGUUGGUUUGUUGGGACUGAGUAAUGAUUAAGAGGGACAGUUGGGGGCAUUUGUAUUUCGGUGCUAGAGAUGAAAUUCUUAGAUUACCGAAAGACAAACUGCUGCGAAAGCGUCUGCCAAGGAUGUUUUCAUUGA
rnacentral:rRNA from 1 species